AAAGAAAAUCAGCCCUCGCACAACCCUGCCUCCCAAUCCCCGUCUCCACCUCCUGCCUCGCGCGCCGCCGUGCGCCGCCACCGCCCACCACGCCGGCACGUUUACCCCUGCACGACCGGCUACACGCCGACGACGCUCGAGCUUGCAGGGGCUGGGGGCAGAUCCGGAGGCGAGGGUCGGAGGUGACGACGAGGAAGGCCUGAGCACAGGCGGAUCCAUGGCAUCCGCGGCUCCUAGGCACAAAGGGGACGGUGAGGCGGGGGAGAGAAGAAGGAAAAAAGGAGGGGUUGUGCGGCGACCUAGCGAGGAGCUCGCCGGAGCUGGGCGAAGGCGGACUGGCGCGGGAGACGGAGGGGUCCGGCGCGGCGGCGCGAAGUCCUUGCAGGUGGAGGCAGGCGUCGAAGCAGAGGACGAGAGGAUCCCCGGCCUAAUUCUGGCGUGCACUCAGCUUCCCCGAUCCAUCCCCUCCUACCCAUCCGGCCCUUCCUCGAUGGCCCGCAUGCGACGAACCCCUACGCGGGGUAAGAAGGGGGAUCACGCGAGGUGGAGCACUCCAGCCCCCUCCUAGCCCUACCACGGUGAGGCCUCCUUUCCCUCUCUCCCUGCCUGAGCCAUAAGCUGGCGGCGCUGAGGUCGAUCUGCUCAUGCACACACGGUUGCUGUGACAUGGUGACAGCCACGCCCCACUUUUUCUUCCAGUUCCUUGUUUUUGUGGUGGAUGCAUCCAUGAUUAUUUGUUUCAACUAUUGAUUUUCAGUUUAGUAAAUCAAACCCAUUCCGAUGCUGCUCUUUUACUUGUACAAAUAAACUAUUGUUCGCUAAACUGAGCAGCUAGCUACUGGUGUCUCAAAGAUUAAGGGCAGGUUGGUACUUAUGGUCAGGCCUGCCUCAAGUAGAGGAAGAAGAGGAGGCCUGAAAGAGAGAGGCCGCAAGGUAGAAGCCUUUUGAUUAGGAGGCAGUCCAGCAAGUUGGACGAACUGCUGAUAAAGAGAUAAUUCUAUUCUAAAUUUUUGUCUGAUAAGCAGGAUUGGAUCACGGAUGUAUGUUGGCUAUGUCUCUCACGGUGUGUGGAACCAGUUAUUGGUUAGUUUCAUCUUGUUUGUUGACAUUGAUGGUGUUGUCCAUUGGUUUAACAGAAAUGUUUUGAAGCUAAAGAUGAAGAGGAACUCGUGGAAGAGGAAAAGAAAUGACAUGGUAGAAAUUCAUUCACACAUAUCAGGGUCAUAGUGAGAGGAUUGAUCUGCUUGAUUCGCUCCUGAUGGUCGGUGGAUUGUUUCUGGUAGGGCUAAGAGUUCUGUGAAGGUGGAAAGCUCUUGCAUGACUUCAGCUUCCUGAAGGUCCGCUUAAACUGUUCAGGUUUUCUUCCCCAUGAGUUUUUACUAGCCACAUGUCAGAUGGUGAUAGUAUGUUAUACAACCUGUACAAAAACAUAAGAUGUGUUCCCAGAUAACAUCUUUCCUCCAAAAUAAUCUAUAUAUCAUCUAGACUUGGUUAGUUGUAACUUUUGCUUUCUGUUCUUUCCACAAGCGUCUGUAGGUUCAAAUGAUAAUUGUUAAAUUUGGUACCUUAAGACUUUUUUUAGGGUGACCUUAAGACUUUUUAGUUGAUUGCAUCCUCUAGACCAGGAGGUAUAAUAGCAUCUCCUAAUUGUCUAAUUGAUGAUUCAGAAAGCUCUGGCUCUACUCAUGUAUAUCAAUUUAUAUUCAGAUUGUGAAGUACUCCUUCUAUAAAGAAAUAUAAGAGCGUUUAGUUCUAUAAAACAUAUUUAUAUGCAGUUAUCCAACAAAUUUAUGUCCUAAAAUCUUACAACUUCUCUUAAGCUGUAUUUGAUCAUAACCUUGGCUUAAAUGCAAUUUAAUUUCAACCUCAAAUUUGGUGAUUUUUUGAAUGGGCACAACUGUGUCGGUAGAGGUUGACAGUUAUGAAUUUUGUGAUAAUCUUCGGUUAUGCUGUUAUAUAUAGCACUUUCCUGGUUAUAUGGUUCACAUUCUCUGAGCCAAUUCACAAUGACCAUUCCAGAUUUGGGCCUUGCGUUUUAAAAUUAUUUUGUAACAUUUUGGUUGAUCUUUGAUGCUGCUCCUUAAUUUUUUUACAUUGACUGGUGUAGAACUAAAUGAGUGUUUGCCAUUCAAGGGAAGCCCCAAGCUUUAAAACCGUAUAUGAAUGUUGUUAGCUUGGUCCUUCACAAAUAAGUCCCUUGUUGUGUGUCAUCUGUCAUUGCGUAUAUCAUCUGGUCUUUCUAUUUUUCAUUGAUUUUUCUUCUCCUGGUGCACUGAAUCUGCAAGGGCGUGUAGACGGCAGGAUGAGCAGCAGCAUACCGGUGGUAAGACAGGGCGUGUUGGCGUACGCGAAGCAGCCAUGCAUGAACCUUGGCGGCGGAUGUUUGCUGGCCGUAGUGGCAGCAUCAAUUCAAGCUGGAAGGCGGGAAGCUGGCGUAGCAGGAACAACUGGUCGUCCAUUAGGCAUCAACCCAACUCCAUUGUACUCCCUUUUCUUUCCAUAACCAAUUCCUUGGAGCAGACAUGUGGGUACAGUUACGUAGCCUGAAGAUUGUUUGCUUUUUUUGGUUAGUUCAGAUUUAGAUUUCUUAGUUUUUGACUAUUUGAUCAAUCGAUCCAUGUAGAUCACAUUGACAUGGUUUGUCGAAUGUACCUUUCAGCAUUUACCCUGAUUAGUUAAAUGCCUAGCUGGUGAUAAGAGGAAGAGGAUGAUCAGGAAAGCAUGGCGUUGAGCGAAUCAGUACAGGAAGAAAGCCCCUCCAGAAAAAAAUAGUAGAGGAAGAAAGAGAGGAGCAGCAGUCAAGAUUGGGCUUGGUGGCCUCAACGCCUAUGACCUCCUCUAUGCCAAGCCUCGCAUCACCUGGUUAUUAUGUUAUCUGCUUCCAUGGAUUUACUGGCGUAUAGAAAUAUGAUUAUCUGAUGUAUGACUUAGGUGAGUUUCCUCUUUAUGUAACAAGGCUCUCUUUUAAAGUUGUUCGCUGUCCUCAUUCCUCGUGAUCUCUGAAUCAGUAUUUAGUUGAUAACUGUGGCAACAAAGGAUCGUUUGCAAACAAGGUUCUCACCCCUUAUAUUUAUUUUGGCAUGGAAAAGC
rnacentral:rRNA from 1 species